GGGCGGGCCGGCCGUUCCACCGCCACCGCCGCCCCCGAGCUGGCCUGCGGGAGGCGCUGACGUGAGCUCGCGUGGGCUGCUCAGCUGCCCCGGCCCUGACUUGCAGUCCUGGGACCCCCAGGGGCGGAGGAGAGCGCCGCCUCGGCCGCCGCCCAAGUCGGGGUCGGCACAUGGGGUACCGUGAACAGAGCUCGGAAGCCCCCGUGUUCUACCCACGCGAGGGUGCGGGAGAGCCCCCUUCUUCUGGGGCCUCCCCUCGGCCCCCCGGCUGGACCGUCCGGACGCCUGGGUCAGGAAGCCCCUCUGCACCUGUGCAUCCUGAGUUCGUUUCCGAGAAGGAAGCAGUGAGAGGACGCGUCCACCGAAAGAGAAACCCUGGAAGGGCAAACGGUGCCGGAAAUGGGAGCUCUAAUGCUGGACGCGAGACACGGGAACCCCUAGGAAGAUACUGAAAAGAGGUCCCGGGAUACUGGUUCUGCAUCAGGUGUAACGGGCCGCCGUUUGAGCCGGGAGAUGGGAGCUGUCCCCAGGAGGCCCACUGCCACUGUGAUACCAUUUUGCCUGAGCACAGGGCGCGCUGGGUACCGUAACCCAGAUUCUUAUCCAUGCUCAGCUCGCCUGGACUGUGCUCAGGAAGCUCCCGCCUGCCCGCCCUCCCAUCCCCGCCCCCCGAAUGAACUGAGAGCCCCCAUUUCACUCCACAGAAAUACUCUUGUCCGAGAGCCGGAGGUCGGCCCGGAUGAACGAAGAAGCAGGAAAUACAGCGAAUCCCACUCAUCUCGACAUCAUUCCUGAGACAUCGUGAGCCUGACCCAGCCUGUAGACCAGCCAGGUGCUCCAGCCGCGGCGACCCCUGUAUUUCCCUGCGCGUUUCCACGACCUUGCUGCGUGAGGCUCCCCAAGACCACCCCCAGGUUUGGUGAUUCCCUCGGAGGACUCAGAGGACUCGGCAUAGAGUCGUACUCAAGGCUCUGUCCGUCGCCGCAGAGGGACACCAAGCAGAAUCAGCAAAAGAAAACAGCGGCGGGCACAGCCCAGGGAAACCAGCGGUGAGCCGAGUGCCCUCCAGGGGGAGUGCCACAGGACAUCGCCCAGCCGCCGAUCGCGACAGCACAUGUGCUGUGUGUCAACCAGGGCCACUCAUUAGAGGCUAAGGACCCAGGCUUCUCCUUUGCACACCCUCUGUCCUGGCACAUACGAACUUCCAGAGCCCCGGAAGGAAAGCUGGUGUUCAGCACAAGCCAGAUUGUUUGCACAAAUAGUUUACGCACAGGAGCCACUGUCACCACUUAGGGAGUGGUGGACACCCUCCUGAAGUGCGGGUUCCGGAGGCCAGCCCGGGGCCAGCCUUGCCAGCAGCGCUUUCCAAGGAGCGCCGUCUCAGGCCUGCUCUGGGAGCUCUUUUCUAAAUGAUUUCCCACAAACCUUACCCAGAAAGGGCUCCUGGAAACGCCAGGGAAGCGGAAGCCAGGCUGUGACCUGGAAGCUCUGUUUAGUUUACAUUUUCCUGGAAACCCUGGCCUGGACCGUGGUGACACCGCUUCUCCUUACACCGAGAGGCACGUUCUUUCCAUCUCGUUUCCACUUUCUUUGGCUGCAGGGGACACAGCAAAGUGGUCAGACCACAAAGGGUCCUGUCAGCCAAAGCCCACCCUCUCCUGGGAACCGAGUUGUAACUGGGCAUGUGGUGUCCGGGUGGCCUGCGUUUCUGAGGUUCCGUGUGUGUGUCUGAGGUCUUGCCUCUGAAGCCUACAAGAAGUGACGGGCUGCUUCUGGGUCUGGGUCUAAGGCUUAAGACUUUUUCCCCGUCCCCGCUGGCUGGUCCCCAGAGGCGCCAGCGACACAGCUUCAGCCACCCAGGUGGUGAAAUGCUGUAGUGACAGCACAAAACAAAGACGUAAGGAGUCGGGUUCCCUGAACAUCCUCUCCGAACAAGAGCGGCCUGGCAAGUGAGACAGAAAAUGUCCUUCUUUCUUUCUUUUUUUAAAUUCUUUGUUAUUUCCCCAAUACAAUUUUUCUUUUUUUUUUUUUUUUUGCUGUGCAGCAAGGUGACCCAGUUACACAUACAUGUAUAUAUUCUUUUUUCUCCCAUUAUCCUGCUCCGUCAUGAGCAACUAGACGUAGUUCUCAGGGCUCCACAGCAGGAAGAAAGCUGCCUUAUUUCUUCGUGCACUUUCUCCAUCCCCCGACUCAAACAGCGUGAUAGCACAAAAGGCAGGAUGUGCGCUCCCUCGGAAGAAGCACGUCGGGAGCUCCUGAGAUUCAGGAAUAUUUGUUUCUUAACCUGGUAUCAAAUACACACACACACUUUGGUAUGUAUCUAUGAGUCAUCUCACUGUUUUAAACAAAUUGCACACACCGUGAUGCCAAGGGUACCGCCCAGGGACCUCUGCCCAGACCUGAGUGAUGACCUGUAUGGGGAAAGAAUCGGAAAAGGACUGGCUGGAGGAUAGCUGAUUUACUUUGCUGUACACAAAGUACAGCACACACAACUUUCUAAGUCAGCUAUACGCCGAUAAAAUUUAUUUGAAAAAGUGAAAGACCCUUCCUCGGCGGCUGCUAAGGUGCUCGGUCCUUCCGAGGACGCUAAGGCCGCGUUGGGGUGAGGCCCUCACUUCAUCCGGCCACUGGCACCGUGCCCAGCAGCCCCCACCCAGCAUUCAUCCACACCGCGGCCUCCGUCCCCGGGGCUCGCCUGCGUCUCCUCUGCCCUCAGCCUGCAGGAUGAUGAGGUGACAGUCACGGAGGAUGAGAUCGAGGCUCUCAUGAAAGCAGCAGGUGUAAAUGCUGAGCCUUUCUGCCAGGCUUGUCUGCAAAGCUCUGGCCAGUGUCAACAUGGGGAGCCUCAUCUGCAGUGUGGGGGCUGGUGGACCUGCCCCCAGCAGCUGGUACUCCACCAGCAGGAAAUCCUGCCCCGGCCACCACUGCUGCCCCGGCUGAGGAGAAGAAAGUAGAAGCGAAGAAAGAAGAAUCUGAGGAGUCUGAUGAUGAUACGGGCUUUGGUCUUUUUGACUAAACUUCUAUAACACAUUCAAUAAUAAAAAGCUGAGCUCAUUAAAAAGAAAUAAAAAAUAAAGUGCUUGAAU
rnacentral:lncRNA from 1 species